rnacentral:rRNA from 1 species
UACAGAGGUCUCAAGCGCUGUUCGGAUUCAUUGGGCGUAAAGGGUGCGUAGGCGGCGCGGUAAGUCGGGUGUGAAAUCUUGGAGCUUAACUCCGAAACUGCAUUCGAUACUGCCGUGCUUGAGGACUGGAGAGGAGACUGGAAUUUACGGUGUAGCGGUGAAAUGCGUAGAUAUCGUAAGGAAGACCAGUGGCGAAGGCGGGUCUCUGGACAGUUCCUGACGCUGAGGCACGAAGGCCAGGGGAGCAAACGGG